GCUGCAAUUUAUUAGUAUCAUUAAGCAACAAGAAACAUGAAUUUCAGUCUCUUAAUAUCAACGUGAGUUCAAAUUUUGAGGGAUUAAAGUAUAAUUUCCGUCAAGAAUAACAUAUGGGUUUUGCUCACUACUUCAAUCUCGUUGUUUCAUUUUGUCGUGUUGUUGACUCUGGGUUUUCUUCGUAAUGAAGUAAGGUGGAAGAAGAUUAAAUCUUGGCAUACAAGGCUAAAGGGGCGACGAAGCGAACGUGAUUACGAUUAACCUUCAACAGGUACAGAUACUCGCUUUGGUGAUCCUCCAGCUUAGGACUCUUACUCAACUGUCUUGGAAAGCUCCGUUGUUCCGGAGCCUAGACUUUUGGUACAGAUCUUAUGAUGUAUAUGUAUAUGUUUAUCCAGGGGUAUGGCGGGGCCCUGUCCCGCCAUAUUUCGCUAUCGAUACUCUUAGGGGUCUGUAGACAUAUGUGUGGGUUGUGUAUAAGUUCUGUUCAGCUGUGUCUAUACGAUAUGCUAUGAUAUGAUGUUCGUCUGUAAUGGCAGCCUUGUCGACAUACAUAUGAUAUUGAUAUGUAGUGGCAGC